rnacentral:rRNA from 1 species
GACGAACGCUGGCGGCGUGCUUAACACAUGCAAGUCGAACGGAAAGGCCCUGCUUUUGUGGGGUGCUCGAGUGGCGAACGGGUGAGUAACACGUGAGUAACCUGCCCUUGACUUUGGGAUAACUUCAGGAAACUGGGGCUAAUACCGGAUAGGAGCCCCUGCUGCAUGGUGGGGGUUGGAAAGUUUCGGCGGGUGGGGAUGGACUCGCGGCUUAUCAGCUUGUUGGUGGGGUAGUGGCUUACCAAGGCUUUGACGGGUAGCCGGCCUGAGAGGAUGACCGGCCACAUUGGGACUGAGAGACGGACCAGACGCCUACGGGAGGCAGCAGUGGGGAAUAUGGCACAAUGGGCGGAAGCCGGAUGCAGCAACGCCGCGUGCGGGAUGACGGCCUGCGGGGUGUAAACCGCUUUCGCCUGUGACGAAGCGUGAGUGACGGUAAUGGGUAAAGAAGCACCGGCUAACUACGUG